rnacentral:rRNA from 1 species
AACGAACGCUGGCGGCAUGCCUAACACAUGCCAGUCGAACGAGACCUUCGGGUCUAGUGGCGCACGGGUGCGUAACGCGUGGGAACCUGCCCUUAGGUUCGGAAUAACUCCCCGAAAGGGGUGCUAAUACCGGAUAAUGUCUUCGGACCAAAGAUUUAUCGCCUUUGGAUGGGCCCGCGUUGGAUUAGCUAGUUGGUAGGGUAAAAGCCUACCAAGGCGACGAUCCAUAGCUGGUCUGAGAGGAUGAUCAGCCACACUGGGACUGAGACACGGCCCAGACUCCUACGGGAGGCAGCAGUGGGGAAUAUUGGACAAUGGGCGAAAGCCUGAUCCAGCAAUGCCGCGUGAGUGAUGAAGGCCUUAGGGUUGUAAAGCUCUUUUACCCGGGAUGAUAAUGACAGUACCGUGAGAAUAAGCUCCGGCUAACUCCGUG